rnacentral:rRNA from 1 species
UUAAGUUAAUAAGGGCGCACGGUGGAUGCCUUGGCACUAGGAGCCGACGAAGGACGUGACAAACGACGAUAUGCCUUGGGUAGCUGUAAGUAAGCGAUGAUCCAGGGAUUUCCGAAUGGGGGAACCCAACAGGUAAUACCUGUUACCUACAUCUGUUAAGGAUGUGAGGAGGAAGACGCAGUGAACUGAAACAUCUAAGUAGCUGCAGGAAGAGAAAGCAAAAGCGAUUGCCUUAGUAGCGGCGAGCGAAACGGCAGAAGGGCAAACCGAAGAGUUUACUCUUCGGGGUUGUAGGACUGCAAUGUGGACUCAAAGAUUAUAGAAGAAUGAUUUGGGAAGAUCAGCCAAAGAGAGUAAUAGCCUCGUAUUUAAAAUAGUCUUUGUACUUAGCAGUAUCCUGAGUACGGCGGGACACGUGAAAUCCCGUCGGAAUCUGGGAGGACCAUCUCCCAACCCUAAAUACUCCCUAGUGACCGAUAGUGAACCAGUACCGUGAGGGAAAGGUGAAAAGCACCCCGGGAGGGGAGUGAAAUAGAACCUGAAACCGUGUGCCUACAACAAGUUCGAGCCCGUUAAUGGGUGAGAGCGUGCCUUUUGUAGAAUGAACCGGCGAGUUACGUUAUGAUGCGAGGUUAAGUUGAAGAGACGGAGCCGUAGGGAAACCGAGUCUGAAUAGGGCGCCUUAGUAUCAUGACGUAGACCCGAAACCAUGUGACCUACCCAUGAGCAGGUUGAAGGUGCGGUAAGACGCACUGGAGGACCGAACCAGGGCACGUUGAAAAGUGCUUGGAUGACUUGUGGGUAGCGGAGAAAUUCCAAACGAACUUGGAGAUAGCUGGUUCUCUCCGAAAUAGCUUUAGGGCUAGCGUCGACAUUAGAGAUUCUUGGAGGUAGAGCACUGUUUGGGUGAGGGGUCCAUCCCGGAUUACCAAUCUCAGAUAAACUCCGAAUGCCAAUGAAUUAUGGUCGGCAGUCAGACUGCGAGUGCUAAGAUCCGUAGUCGAAAGGGAAACAGCCCAGACCACCAGCUAAGGUCCCAAAAUAAUUGUUAAGUGGAAAAGGAUGUGGGGUUGCACAGACAACUAGGAUGUUAGCUUAGAAGCAGCUAUUCAUUCAAAGAGUGCGUAAUAGCUCACUAGUCGAGUGACCCUGCGCCGAAAAUGUACCGGGGCUAAAACAAUUUACCGAAGCUGUGGAUACCUUUAUAGGUAUGGUAGGAGAGCGUUCUAUGUGUGAUGAAGGUAUACCGUGAGGAGUGCUGGAACGCAUAGAAGUGAGAAUGCCGGUAUGAGUAGCGAAAGACAGGUGAGAAUCCUGUCCACCGUAAGACUAAGGUUUCCAGGGGAAGGCUCGUCCGCCCUGGGUUAGUCGGGACCUAAGGAGAGACCGAAAGGUGUAUCCGAUGGACAACAGGUUGAUAUUCCUGUACUAGAGUAUGUAGUGAUGGAGGGACGCAGUAGGCUAACUAAAGCAGACGAUUGGAAGAGUCUGUCUAAGCAGUGAGGUGUGAAUUGAGUCAAAUGCUUAAUUCUAUAACAUUGAGCUGUGAUGGGGAGCGAAGUUUAGUAGCGAAGUUAGUGACGUCACACUGCCAAGAAAAGCUUCUAGCGUUUAAACAUACUCUACCCGUACCGCAAACCGACACAGGUAGUCGAGGCGAGUAGCCUCAGGUGAGCGAGAGAACUCUCGUUAAGGAACUCGGCAAAAUGACCCCGUAACUUCGGGAGAAGGGGUGCUGACUUUAAGUCAGCCGCAGUGAAUAGGCCCAAGCAACUGUUUAUCAAAAACACAGCUCUCUGCUAAAUCGUAAGAUGAUGUAUAGGGGGUGACGCCUGCCCGGUGCUGGAAGGUUAAGAGGAGUGCUUAGCGUAAGCGAAGGUAUGAAUUGAAGCCCCAGUAAACGGCGGCCGUAACUAUAACGGUCCUAAGGUAGCGAAAUUCCUUGUCGGGUAAGUUCCGACCCGCACGAAAGGCGUAAUGAUUUGGGCACUGUCUCAACGAGAGACUCGGUGAAAUUUUAGUACCUGUGAAGAUGCAGGUUACCCGCGACAGGACGGAAAGACCCCAUGGAGCUUUACUGCAGUUUGAUAUUGAGUGUCUGUACCACAUGUACAGGAUAGGUAGGAGUCUAAGAGAUCGGGACGCCAGUUUCGAAGGAGACGCUGUUGGGAUACUACCCUUGUGUUAUGGCCACUCUAACCCAGAUAGGUGAUCCCUAUCGGAGACAGUGUCUGACGGGCAGUUUGACUGGGGCGGUCGCCUCCUAAAAGG